UACGGAGGGGGCGAGCGUUAUUCGGAAUUAUUGGGCGUAAAGGGCGCGUAGGCGGCUUGGCAAGUCAAAGGUGAAAUCCCUCGGCUCAACUGAGGAACUGCCUUUGAAACUGCCUGGCUUGAGGCCGGGAGGGGGUAGCGGAAUUCCUGGUGUAGCGGUGAAAUGCGCAGAUAUCAGGAGGAACACCGGUGGCGAAGGCGGGUCUCUGGGCCGAAACUGACGCUGAGGAGCGAAAGCGUGGGGAGCAAACAGG
rnacentral:rRNA from 1 species